rnacentral:rRNA from 1 species
CUCUUCCCAUUCCGAACAGAGAAGUUAAGCCCCUCAUGGCCGAUGGUACUGCAAUAUCAUGCGGGAGAGUAGGUAGCUGCCAUAC